UCCCCGAGAAGGAGGAAAUACGAGGGGUGAGGGGUGCGCACGGAACGGGAAAAGGAGGACUUGGGCCUCGGAGUGGGAGCCUCGUUGGAGAGGAGGAGCAGACGAGCGGCCUCAAGGCUGUCAGAGCCACCUAGACACCGCACCAUAAAAAGAGGAAAACUCAAGCCCUGAGGCUAGAGAGAAUCAGUUCACUCGAAGACAGUGGGCACUGAAGCUGCUUGGGAAACAAAUCGCCUUCCUUCCCAGAAUCCUUGUUUGUACCAAGGAAAAGCAGGGAUGCCAGCUAGCUCCUGCUCCAGGGUGUGGUUGUGGAAAGGUUCCUUGGCACCUGAGAUGGCAGGGAAGUGGUUUGUUCCCUUCUUGCUAAGCAGAGGGUAAGUACAUUACAAUGGAGUAGCUGUCUGGAUAAAGGUGACAGUGGAAACCAUGAGAUAGAGUACAGAAAUCAAAGAGCACAGAAGUGAUGGAGCAGACCAAAGGCAAAACCAAAGGGAAAAUCUACAUUUAAGGGGCAGAAGGAAAAAGAAGUGAAAGAAAAGAUAAUAGACUAGGCAGAAGGGCAGGAAACCCUGUAAGAAUGCCCAGGAAGCCGAAGAAGAGUUCAAGAUGAAGGGUGGUCCAGCAGUGUGGUGAAAGAGGACCAAGAGGGAUGCAGACAUGCAGGCAGUUGGUCGACAUCCAUAUAUAUCCAUUGAAAUACCCUAGAUUAUGUGUCUUGAAAUAGUUUUUCUGAAUUAGAAGUCUCAUUUGUUUCUUUAGUCUCUUGCACAUAAAAGUGAGUACCAAGAAAAAGCCAUUUAUUUGGACUUUGAUAGUAUUUCCACUUGUUUACUGAGAGUAUUUACCUUAUAGCAUUUAUAUAAACAGCAUUUUCCUAUACAUACAGAAAAUGAUUUAAAUGUAAAACAAAUUAUGACACCAGAGAAGACCUGUUUAUCAUACUUGUUAACUCACUGAUACACUUAGAAAUAUCUGCGUGUACUCCACACUUGCAAGACUAGAGUGAGAUCCUAGUUCUAAUCCCACCUCUGGCUCCAAUCCAUUUCAGUGUGACUUUUGUAAAGUUACUAAAGUCUAAGUCUGCACUAUCUAAUAUGGUAGUCACAAGCCAUUGUGGCUAUUUAAAUUUAAAUUAAUUAAAAUUGAAUAAAAUUAAAAUUCAGUUCUUAUGUUUUGUUAGCUACAUUUCAAGUGUUUGAAAGCUGCAUGCCCAGUAUCUACCAUAUUAGACAUCUGUUGGGCAGCACCCAUCCCCAUCCUUUACCUGAAAAUAUUCAUCACUAACCACUAAUAUAAUAUUUGUUUAUUAUGAGGGUAAGCAAAUUUAAAGUACAACAAUUUGAAACAAUCUUAGGUGCCCUUAGAUAUACAUUUGAACAAACAUAUCAUGGACAUUAAAGAAAAAAUCAGAAAAUAUAUUUGAACAAAUGAAAAUUUGCUAAUGUCAGAAAAAAUGUGCGUCUGUAUUAGAGA